rnacentral:rRNA from 1 species
UACGUAGGGUGCGAGCGUUGUCCGGAAUUAUUGGGCGUAAAGAGCUUGUAGGUGGUUUUGUCGCGUCUGCUGUGAAAAUCCGAGGCUCAACCUCGGACUUGCAGUGGGUACGGGCAGACUAGAGUGUGGUAGGGGAGACUGGAAUUCCUGGUGUAGCGGUGGAAUGCGCAGAUAUCAGGAGGAACACCGAUGGCGAAGGCAGGUCUCUGGGCCAUUUACUGACACUGAGAAGCGAAAAGCAUGGGGAGCGAACAGG